AACCAACGCCAGGUGAAUGUGAUAUAUUCCAUAAGUGGUGGCAUACCCAUAUCUAAAUCUUCCAACAGGGCCAUGAAAAAUAGCAAACGUGCUUUAAGGUCUGGCCACCAAGUGUUUCACGUGGAAGACAUCAGGGGAGGUAAACAUCAAAAGCCUAACUGGGUGAUGAAGGAACUCAUCUUCAUGCCACCAACCAGGUGAUGAAAUGUACAACCCGUACUCUAAUAUCAUUUGGCAACUUACCAUUCAUGCCACCAACCAGGGGAAGAAGGAACUCACCUUCGUACCACCAAC
rnacentral:lncRNA from 1 species